AUGGCUCAGAACGAACGCUGGCGGCAGGCCUAACACAUGCAAGUCGAGCGCACCUUCGGGUGAGCGGCGGACGGGUUAGUAACGCGUGGGAACGUACCCAGAUCUACGGAAUAGCCUUUGGAAACGAAGAGUAAUACCGUAUACGCCCUUCGGGGGAAAGAUUUAUCGGAUUUGGAUCGGCCCGCGUUAGAUUAGAUAGUUGGUGGGGUAACGGCCUACCAAGUCUACGAUCUAUAGCUGGUUUGAGAGGAUGAUCAGCAACACUGGGACUGAGACACGGCCCAGACUCCUACGGGAGGCAGCAGUGGGGAAUCUUAGACAAUGGGCGAAAGCCUGAUCUAGCCAUGCCGCGUGAGUGACGAAGGCCCUAGGGUCGUAAAGCUCUUUCGCCAGGGAUGAUAAUGACAGUACCUGGUAAAGAAACCCCGGCUAACUCCGUGCCAGCAGCCGCGGUAAUACGGAGGGGGUUAGCGUUGUUCGGAAUUACUGGGCGUAAAGCGCGCGUAGGCGGAUUGGAAAGUUGGGGGUGAAAUCCCAGGGCUCAACCCUGGAACUGCCUCCAAAACUAUCAGUCUAGAGUUCGAGAGAGGUGAGUGGAAUUCCAAGUGUAGAGGUGAAAUUCGUAGAUAUUUGGAGGAACACCAGUGGCGAAGGCGGCUCACUGGCUCGAUACUGACGCUGAGGUGCGAAAGUGUGGGGAGCAAACAGGAUUAGAUACCCUGGUAGUCCACACCGUAAACGAUGAAUGCCAGACGUCAGGGGGCUUGCCCUUUGGUGUCACACCUAACGGAUUAAGCAUU
rnacentral:rRNA from 1 species